rnacentral:rRNA from 1 species
UACGUAGGGUGCAAGCGUUAUCCGGAAUUAUUGGGCGUAAAGAGCGUGUAGGCGGUUCGGUAAGUCGGCUGUGAAAGUCCAGGGCUCAACCCUGGGAUGCCGGUCGAUACUGCCGGACUAGAGUUCGGAAGAGGCGAGUGGAAUUCCCGGUGUAGCGGUGAAAUGCGCAGAUAUACGGGAGGAACACCCGUGGCGGAAGGACGGGUCGCUGGCUCCUGGCCGAAG